CUAUGCGUCUUUGAAUACCAUUUUUAAUACGCUCAACGUUUGCAUGUUGACCUGCACGCUCAGCAAUAUCUAUGUAA
rnacentral:sRNA from 1 species